CCCCUUGCAGGACGGCCUGAAACUUAAAACCUCCCAUUGCCAAGCCAACUGGGAGUGUGAGUUUGGGGUGAGAGGCGGCUGUCACAACAGAGCAGGGAACAGCUGGGGCUGUGUGGGGUUACAGGGCAGGAGAGGCAGCACUGGACCUGGCCUCAGGGGUUGGACACUGCCAUGUCGGGCAAUAAUCUGCUGAGGGAGAUGGAGAUGGUGGGGCAAAGGCUUCUGGUUAAACUCAAGGACUUGCCGCAGGCAGACGCUUUCCAAAUUCUACCAUUUGCUAUCAUCCUCAUCUUCAUUGGUGCUGUGUUGCUGAUGGUGUCCCUGGCGUGCUGCUACUCCUGCUGUGAUGGACACACUAAGAAGCAGCGACUUGCAAGAGUGCAGCCAGCGGGUACUGUGUGAGCCCCCCCAGCCACUGUACAGCAGGCUGGGCCUGAGAAAUUCACCAGGAAACCCUGAACAAGCAUCAGGACUGGGACAAAAACAUGUGCGGGGCAGUGAUAGAGCUAUGUACCCCCUGCAACUGUCUCCCUAUAGGAGAAGGUAAAAAAGAUGGUGGUCUGUAGGCAACAAAAUGUACAAAAUGACUGUCUAGGCCAGAGACUGGCCCUGUAUGCCCGGGCCCCGUAUGAUGCAAAACAAAUCAAAAUGGAGAAGAUGGUCGGCCAACCUGGUAGGCUUUGGGACUACAAUAAGAGUGAGCAUUGGCUGCUGGGAAAUGCUGGAAGCCUGCAGGGGGGGCAUCUCUGGACUAGACUGAUACUGGGAACAUGUGGCACCAAAGAACAUGGAAAGGACCAACUGGCUUUAUUCCAAGGGGACUGGCCAACAGCGCAGCCUCCCACUGACUAAAGCUGUGUUGCCUUACUGAAGGCUGGAUGGGGGGGGUAGAGGCCAAACUGCCCAAAGUAUACAUAGACUUGUAAUAUCAUCAUUUUAGGUAUCAAAGAAAUAACCGGAAAACAAAUCACUACAAUGACCCAGGCAGCAGUGUUACUAAGCCACUGGCUUUUAGGUGACACCGUUUUUAUCCUGCAGCUAUGCCAUCUCGGCUUUUAAAGGAAAAGUAAACCCUGAAGGCAAGUUAAUGGUCAAAUUUCCCCUUAAGGGGCUAUUCUAACCACUUUAUACGUUCAUAAGCUAUGAUUAGUUUUCACACUGCAAAUAUAAAGAAGUGGAAACAACAGCGCCACCUGCUGUUCAUCUCUAUAUACACAUAUGCUAGGCGCUAUAACAUCUCUUGGGAGGGCCAGUGAGUCUCCAGUUUGGUAGCCCUGCUAUUCUGAUGCCAAAAACAUAGUCGCCAGCCUUUUUCUACCUUUGCCAAGAUAAAGAGAAUGAGGCUCCUGUGAGACAAGUGACCUAUGCUGAGUCUGGGAGCCAUUACUCGCCGUUCUCUAUGCACAGACAUAUAAAUGGACCUAAAUACAUGUAAAUAAACAUAUUAUACAAG